rnacentral:rRNA from 1 species
UGGGGAAUUUUGGACAAUGGGCGAAAGCCUGAUCCAGCAAUGCCGCGUGUGUUAAGAAGGCCUUCGGGUUGUAAAGCACUUUUGUCCGGAAAGAAAUCCUUGGCUCUAAUACAGUCGGGGGAUGACGGUACCGGAAGAAUAAGCACCGGCUAACUACGUGCCAGCAGCCGCGGUAAUACGUAGGGUGCAAGCGUUAAUCGGAAUUACUGGGCGUAAAGCGUGCGCAGGCGGUUUGCUAAGACCGAUGUGAAAUCCCCGGGCUCAACCUGGGAACUGCAUUGGUGACUGGCAGGCUAGAGUAUGGCAGAGGGGGGUAGAAUUCCACGUGUAGCAGUGAAAUGCGUAGAGAUGUGGAGGAAUACCGAUGGCGAAGGCAGCCCCCUGGCAAGUACUGACGCUCAUGCACGAAAAGCGUGGGGAGCAAACAGGAUUAGAUACCCUGGUAGUCCACGCCCUAAAACGAUGUCAACUAGUUGUUGGGGAUUCAUUUCCUUAGUAACGUAGCUAACGCGUGAAGUUGACCGCCUGGGGAGUACGGUCGCAAGAUUAAAACUCAAAGGAAUUGACGGGGGUCAUAGCUGUUUU